UGGCCUCACUAUGUAGACUAGGCUGGCCUCAAACUCACAGAAGGUCACCUGCCUCUGCCUCCUGAGUGCUGGGAU
rnacentral:miRNA from 14 species